UUAGUUGGUGGGGUAAAGGCCUACCAAGACUAUGAUGUGUAGACGGGCUGAGAGGUUGAACGGCCACAUUGGGACUGAGACACGGCCCAAACUCCUACGGGAGGCAGCAGUAGGGAAUUUUCGGCAAUGGAGGAAACUCUGACCGAGCAACGCCGCGUGAACGAUGAAGUAUUUCGGUACGUAAAGUUCUUUUAUUAGGGAAGAAUAAAUGAUGGAAAAAUCAUUCUGACGGUACCUAAUGAAUAAGCCCCGGCUAACUAUGUGCCAGCAGCCGCGGUAAUACAUAGGGGGCAAGCGUUAUCCGGAAUUAUUGGGCGUAAAGGGUGCGUAGGCGGUUAAAUAAGUUUAUGGUCUAAGUGCAAUGCUCAACAUUGUGAUGCUAUAAAAACUGUUUAGCUAGAGUAAGAUAGAGGCAAGUGGAAUUCCAUGUGUAGUGGUAAAAUGCGUAAAUAUAUGGAGGAACACCAGUAGCGAAGGCGGCUUGCUGGGUCUUUACUGACGCUGAGGCACGAAAGCGUGGGGAGCAAACAGGAUUAGAUACCCUGGUAGUCCACGCCGUAAACGAUGAGUACUAAACGUUGGGUAAAACCAGUGUUGAAGUUAACACAUUAAGUACUCCGCCUGAGUAGUACGUACGCAAGUAUGAAACUUAAAGGAAUUGACGGGACUCCGCACAAGCGGUGGAUCAUGUUGUUUAAUUCGAAGGUACCCGAAAAACCUCACCAGGUCUUGACAUGCUUCUGCAAAGCUGUAGAAACACAGUGGAGGUUAUCAGUUGCACAGGUGGUGCAUGGUUGUCGUCAGCUCGUGUCGUGAGAUGUUGGGUUAAGUCCCGCAACGAGCGCAACCCUUAUUGUUAGUUACCAGCACGUAAUGGUGGGGACUUUAGCAAGACUGCCAGUGAUAAAUUGGAGGAAGGUGGGGACGACGUCAAAUCAUCAUGCCCCUUAUGACCUGGGCUACAAACGUGAUACAAUGGCUGUUACAAAGGGUAGCUGAAGCGCAAGUUUUUGGCGAAUCUCAAAAAAA
rnacentral:rRNA from 1 species